CCGCCGAAUCUCGGAGCGUCUCCACGCAGCUGCUCGCGCACUUCCGCAGCCCGCUUGAGGCCCGCCGGCGUCUGGCAGCCGCGCGCCAUCUUCUCUCAGCGCCAUGGCUGCGGCGGGCGGGCUGGGAGCGGCCGGGUGCUGCCCGCUCCUCGGCCUGCUUUUGCUUUCGCUGAUUGCGGGCCCUGCGCUGGGCCGGAACGACCCUGACAGAAUAUUGUUGCGGGAUGUAAAAGCUCUUACUCCACUACGACCGCUAUACCACCUCUCGUAGGCUGGAUCCGAUCCCACAGCUGAAAUGUGUUGGAGGCACAGCUGGCUGUGAUUCUUACACACCGAAAGUCAUACAGUGUCAGAACAAAGGAUGGGAUGGUUACGAUGUACAGUGGGAAUGUAAGACCGAUUUAGAUGUUGCAUACAAAUUUGGAAAAACCGUGGUGAGCUGUGAAGGCUAUGAAUCCUCUGAAGACCAAUAUGUACUAAGAGGUUCCUGUGGCUUGGAGUAUAAUUUAGAUUAUACUGAACUUGGCCUGAAGAAAUUGAGAGUCCGGAAGACUCUAUGGCUUUACCUCUUUCUCUGAUUAUUAUAACAGGUGGUACUCGGCAGAUUCUUGUAGCACGGGUGGAUUGAUUACCAUUGUGGUGCUACUUGGUAUUGCCUUUGCGGUGUAUAAGCUGUUGCUUAGCGAUGGUCAGUGUUCUCCUCCACCAUGUUCCGAGUAUCCUCCAUUUUCCCACCAUUAUCAGAGAUUCACCAACUCAGCAGGACCUCCUCCUCCAGGCUUUAAGUCUGAGUUCACAAGACUGCAGAAUACUGGCCGUGGUGCGACUCCUGGUUUUGGUAGUGCUUUCACAGGACAACAAGGAUGUGAAAACUCAGGACCAGGAUUCUGGACUGGCCUGGGAACUGGAGGAAUAUUAGGAUACUUGUUUGGCAGCAAUAGAGCAGCAACACCCUUCUCAGACUCGUGGUACUACCCAUCCUAUUCUCCACCCUACUCCAGCGCCUGGAAUAGCCGUGCUUACUCACCACUUCGUGGAGGCUCAGGUGGCUAUUCGGCAAAUUCGAACUCAGAUACGAAAACGAGAAUUGCAUCAGGAUAUGGUGGUACCAGAAGAUGGUAAAGUAGAAAGUUGAAGUCAAACACUGGAUGCAAAAUUUCUGAUUUUUCAUCACUUUCUGUUUAGAAAAAGUGCUACCUGCUAACAACUGGUGAAAGGAUAUUCAGAAGUCCUGUGGUGUUUUG